CUUCUGUAAAUCUAGUUUUCUUCUCCAUAGGUAAGCCAAGAGAAGAACAUUGCUCUUCUGUACAGCUCACAAAAAGCAUCCAAGGUAAGAAGAUAACUCAAAAGAAAGGAGAUACCAGAUAGCUUUGCAUCAUUGAUUAUAAUAUAGAUG